CUCAGCAUCAGAGAGCUUCCUGAAACCAAGACAACAGAGACCAACGCCUGUUUAAGCAUCGCUGUGUGAAGACUCCUUCAGCCACAUAAUCACCAUGGCAACAGAGAUGAAGAAAAACUCAUCGAACAGUGUGUGGAUCAGUUCAGGACCUCCUGCUGUCUACAAGCUGAAACCGCAGAAAAAGAACUUUGGAACAUUCACAA